ACGGGAACUAAUCAUCAGACACUGGUUCGACGGGCAUCCAUCCCGGUACAACUCUUCUAUUCUCUUCUUUGUCUCUCUCACAGAUUUGCCCUAAACACAUCUUAUUUGGGGCAUCUCUCUGUCUCCCUCACUCUCUCUCAGAUUUGCCCUAAACACAUCUCAUUUGGGGCAUCUCUCCUCUCUCUCAGAUUUGCAAAUGAGAUUGAGUCGGGCCAAGUCGAGUUGCAGAGUUACUCUGACGAGUCGUCGCUCGGAUGGGAGACCGAGUCGAAGAAGAGUUAGACCUCGUUUGGGUCGGCAGCAUAGACAAAGCAUGGCGAGGUCGAGAGGAAGAAAGGAACUCCAUGGAGAGAAGAAGAAAAUAGGAGUUGGGGCUGGAGGGGAGGAAUAACAGGCUUCUUCAAUAUCUAUUGCCCAUUUACCUUGGCUGGCGUUUGUUGUUGCAUUCUUAUUUGUACUACUUAACGGAUGGCUUCGCAUCUACAGACGUCACCGAAGAGAACAAGAGAUGAUGCAAUCUGAAGUUGUUGAGGAAAUUAUUUACGGCUUGGAAUCGGGCAUUUUGUUUGGGGUUGCAUCUGUCAUAUCAAAGAUGGGGUUUGUAUUCUUGGACCAGGGCUUCUCCAAGUUGCUGGUUCCUGCAUGCAUCUCAAUCAGUGUUUGUUGUAGUGGUACUGGAUUUUUUUACCAGACACGGGGCUUGAAACAUGGGAGAGCAAUUGUAGUGUCCGCAUGCGCUGCUGUAGCAUCAAUUGUGACUGGUGUACUUGCUGGUAUGCUUGCUUUGGGUGAACGAUGGCCUUCAGCACCAAUGGCUCGGCUUUCAGUUUUGUUUGGAUGGUUUUUCAUAAUUCUAGGUGUGGUUCUGCUGGUAACCUCGACACGGCUAGUGCGAUACCUUCCGAGGCCAUUGCGGCGUAUCGUGCAAAACAGUGUUGAUAGGAAUCCUGGCCUCAAACGACACGGGUCGCUCCAUGCCAGGGACCCAACGAGUCCUAGUGCCAUCAUCCAGGCAACCACAUUGCAUCAUUUGAUGUCGUCACCCUCUAAAGAGAACGCUUGAAUCGAAAAUUGCAAUGAAAUCGACGUAUAUGAUUGAAUCUUGAAUAAAGCAGCUAUACUGGAAGGCAUGAAGGCUUUAAUAUCACACCCUUCAUAGAACAAUCUCUCUUGCAAUACUUGUUAAUUUGUUUCUCUUCAGUCUUCCCCAUACACGUACAGGUUAUAGAAUCCUUUGGAAUGUGCCAGUAAAAAUUUAUAUUUCGAAUGGAUUUUAGUUGUGAUUUGGAAGUUGUUCUCUUCAUUUAAGUUAUUUUAUUUUAUGAUGUAUUGCUUGUACUACUACUACCUAUACCCACUGUUAAUGCUCAUCUAACUACUUGUUCUUUGACUGACUUUCUCUCAGUCUCUAGCAUUACUGAAAAGUGGUGUAUGGUUUAGAUUCAAUUAUUGUACGAUGGAACCUACAGGCUACACUUGAAGUGAAUUUCAACCGCACAAUGUUUUUUGUGGGUAAAUUUUAAAAGUUAAGAGCUUUGGUGGUAAUGUGAUGGUCAAAGUAAUUAAAUAACAGCAAUGAGCUCUUCUUCCUUUGAGGGUUCCAACUAUGAAGCCAUGGAUCCAGAAUUACAAGAGGCUGCUGCCUCAGCUGCGAGCAAGUUGUGUCUCAUGUUCCUCCUAUAAGCAAAGAGAUGGGUUUCUUUAAAGGUGGGGCCCCAUAAAAGAUACCUUAGGCAAUGUUCUGUAGCUUCUGAAGAGCAUAAAAGAGAUGAGUUUGUAUGAAGAUCUUGUAGCAGCUUGGGUACCUGCAAAACAUGAAUGGCCGUGGCCACGCCCUUUAGGUCAAGAACUCGUCAAUAGAUUGAGACGAUGAAAGAUGUUCAGCUAUUGUGCCUUUUCUCUGUGCCCUAACCUUGCCCGUUGGAAAACUAGUCGUCAACUAUGUUGAGCAGAACCACAAGGACAAAAUGAAGAUCUUUAUGGCGAAGUAUUACUGUGUGAGAUUGCAUGCUUUAUUCGAUGCUGGUUUGGCAGCUGGACUGGUAGCAGCCAAAACCAUUGCUGGCAAAUAUGUUGACAAGACGGUUUUUCUCUGAUUUUCCACUCCACAGAUUUCAAAAUUUGCCUGGUUCUUUAAUCGGUGCUUCCGAUUGAAGAUGAAGAAGUUUUGCUUGGACAAUAUGAUGGCUACACUGAUGACCCAACAGUUCUAGACAACUCAAAUACUCCCACUUUUGCAACUAUGAUUCUGCGAAUUCACAAUGAAAGAUGGGAAGGUGUUCCGUUUAUACUCAAGGCAGGGAAAGCAUUAACUUCUAGGAAGGCAGAAAUCCGUAUUCAAUUUAAAACCGUUCCUGGUGAUAUAUUCAAAUGUCAAAAGCAAGGAAGGAAUGAAAGUGUAAUCCGUCUGCAACCUUCAGAGUCCAUUUACAUGAAGGUUACGGUGGUAUGUGAUUGUUCACAGUAUCUGCUUCAAACAUCGCAUUAAUGUUUGCUGCUAAAACUUUUGAGUCCUUUGGUUAUGAAACUCAGUUUACAUUAUAGAGAUUGUUCUUUGUUUUGCCCGUGUGUGCUUUCUUGUCAUAGGUUCUUUGACUAGGGCAUGAACAAAUUCACAAUGUUUUAAUUUUUUUGGUAUGGACUGACACAGUAGUUUGAGAUAAUAUGUGGAUUAAGAGGAUUAGUCUUUACCAUUUUCUGUUGGGUUGGGGGAAUGGGUAACGUAGGUAUGUUAGACAGUUGAGAACUUGAACGUUAAGAGAAACAAGAAGAAGACAAUAGGAGGAAAAUUCUUGUCAGUUGCAUCCAAAUUGAAUGGAGACCCUAACCUCAUGGUUAAGUUACAAUUCUUUUUUUUGUUGGCAAUCAAAAAAAAAAAAAAAAAGAAAAAAAAGAAUAGGCCUUAUUGAUUCUACAUGUUCAAUUUGAAAGUUGAGGAUCUUGUUUAAUGUGUGUUUUGCAGAUAACAUUAUAACCUGUAGCUUUUCUAGUUCCAUUUGAAAGUUGAAGUCUCAUAUACACUGAAGAAGGGAGCAGUGUUUUGAAAUGAUUUUAAGCACUGCAGAAUUAUUGGCAUCUUUUCAUUUAGCUGAUUUUUUGUUGUCAUGGAAGUAGUGUUUUCAUUUAUGCUAUUUUUGCAAGUUCUGAUUCAUAUUUCCCAAUAAUUGAAUCACUUUGGUUGGAUGAAACCAUUUAUUAAUUACAUUUUUUGGUCCAAGUAGAAUUUGCAGGUUGUUUUUCACUUUGUUCUACUGCUGGGACAUUUGCUGCUAUUUUGGGAACAGUCGGAGCUGAUUUUUUUGUUGAAUUAAAAUGGGUUCUUUCCAAGGAUUGUUGUAUUUUUCUGCUGCCCUAUUCUGGAACUUAUAUUCUACUGGAGAGAGAGAGAGAGAGAGAGAGUCAAUUUGUGUUUUAAGACAAUUCUAAUUGCCUUCUAUAUUAGAUUGUUGUUGGAUGAUUGAGACCCCUGUUGCUUUUCUUUUGGAGUGGUAAAAUGGCAUGCUUUUUGGCCUUUUUGCUGUUUGUUUAAUGAGAAAUCAAUAAACAUAUUGGGAAAACAACUAUUUGUUCCUGCACUUCUCCCCAAUUUACUUUAUUAUUUUUUCAGCACUCAAUUGAGAAUUUGUAUUUGUGGAGAUCA